UACGGGGGGGGCUAGCGUUGUUCGGAAUUACUGGGCGUAAAGGGCGCGUAGGCGGUCUACUAAGUUGGAUGUGAAAUCCCUCGGCUUAACCGGGGAACUGCGUCUGAUACUGGAUGGCUUGAGAUUGGGAGAGGGAUGCGGAAUUCCGGGUGUAGCGGUGAAAUGCGUAGAUAUCUGGAGGAACACCGGUGGCGAAGGCGGCAUCCUGGACCAACACUGACGCUGAGGAGCGAAAGCCAGGGGAGCAAACGGG
rnacentral:rRNA from 1 species